rnacentral:rRNA from 1 species
CCCGUAUCGCGGCGGACGGGUGAGUAACACGUGGAUAACCUACCUAUAAGACUGGGAUAACUUCGGGAAACCGGAGCUAAUACCGGAUAACAUAUUGAACCGCAUGGUUCAAUAGUGAAAGGCGGCUUUGCUGUCACUUAUAGAUGGAUCCGCGCCGUAUUAGCUAGUUGGUAAGGUAACGGCUUACCAAGGCAACGAUACGUAGCCGACCUGAGAGGGUGAUCGGCCACACUGGAACUGAGACACGGUCCAGACUCCUACGGGAGGCAGCAGUAGGGAAUCUUCCGCAAUGGGCGAAAGCCUGACGGAGCAACGCCGCGUGAGUGAUGAAGGUCUUCGGAUCGUAAAACUCUGUUAUCAGGGAAGAACAAAUGUGUAAGUAACUGUGCACAUCUUGACGGUACCUGAUCAGAAAGCCACGGCUAACUACGUGCCAGCAGCCGCGGUAAUACGUAGGUGGCAAGCGUUAUCCGGAAUUAUUGGGCGUAAAGCGCGCGUAGGCGGUUUUUUAAGUCUGAUGUGAAAGCCCACGGCUCAACCGUGGAGGGUCAUUGGAAACUGGAAAACUUGAGUGCAGAAGAGGAAAGUGGAAUUCCAUGUGUAGCGGUGA